AUCAGUUGCGCUGCGGUGGAGGCUAGGCAGCUAGCUGAAGGCUACGCCAGCUUUUCUCUUCCGGUCGUUGUUUAUUCGCAGUCCUACAUAGGAGGAAGGACGAUCGGACACGGCUUUUGUAAACACAGCGGAUGUGCACGCAACUUGACUUGCAGCGAGAGCCGCGGAGGCCGCUGGUUGCCAUGGUUACCCGCGGGCAACUGAGGCCGACACUCAGAUGAUACGAUGAUGAUGAAGAGGAGGAAGAGGAGGGGAACUCAUCCAAACUCACUCCACCUCUUCAUCCUAUCAGUCCUGAACUCACGUUGCGCCUGUAUUUUCAUUCACCUCAUGCGCUCCCUCUGCCUGGUCCGUUGCAUCGUUGAUGGACUCCAAAAAAACGCGGCGUCCCCGCGGGAGAGGACGCGCCGCCUUUUUAACCACACUUUCCCCUUUUCCUCCUGCUCAUCUUGUCCGCCUCGCCGCCUCGUCUCUUCUGCGUUCACAUUAGCGGAAGUCCUCAUCUGAGGGAAUGACUGAGCGCCAGCACCUCUCCUCCUCCUCCUCCUCCACCCAAAGCCGCAAAAUUGUUUUACAGUGCCAAUUAAAGAAGAUUGUUCAGUUAAGCUGGGAUGAUGAAGAUCUGAGCUGCGGCUCAUUCUGCCGCGUGAAGCCGAACCGAAAACUCCUGGAAGAAAAUCCAAACAUCUCUGCCAAAGCAGCCACAGAACGAAAACUAACCAAGCCGUUUGUUCGGGGAUGGAGCUUGUGUGUCUGGGUCGGGACCGGGAUGGAGGUUCGGUUGAGGCUCAGGUCCUGUCUGCUGCUGUGGAUGUCAUU